AGGAGUUUUUCAUUGGUUUUGUUCAUUCGUUUGUUUUGUGUUUUGGUCUUGCCUUGCAGCUUGUGGGGUCUUAGUUCUCUGACUGGGGGUCGAACCCAUGCUCCCUGCAGUGGAAGCUCUGAGUCCUGACCACUGGGCCUCCAGGGAAGUCCCAGGAGGCUUUCAUUUGCAAAUGACAAGAGAUCAAGGCAAACGUCUAAAUAAAGAAGCAAAUUUACCUGCUCCCUUAAUUGAAAAGUCCUGAAAUAGGUGUCGCUCAGGAGAUGUUGGACCCCAGAGCUCAGAUGAUAUCAUCGGGGCUUGGGCUUCUCUACCAGUUAGUUCUUCUGUGAUGGUUGCUAAGGCAGCCUUCAGAAGCUACUAAUUUACAUUUUCAGAGGAUUAAAUCCAGUGGAUGAGAGAGCUUGACUCCUCAUCGAUUCCAACAAACAUCCCAGGUCUGCUUUCCAUUGCACAUUCCUGAAGCAAUCCCUCUGGCUGCAAGAGAUUAUGCUGACUGGCUUAGACUUAUAUAUGUGGUCUUUUAUUUUCUAUUAUAAUUUUGAUGAUUUGUCCACAAAGGCAACCUAACUCUAAGCCACUAGGAGACAUAGCCCUGUGACCAAAAUCAGAUCUCGUUCUGAGGAAUUCUAACCAGAAGACACUAUUUCAGAACAGUGAAGGCUGCUUCUCAUUCCAUUUCAUCAACUGCAACUACUUUUUGAGGCAGGUUUCUUGAGGACCUGGCACAUAUCUGAACUUAUAAAAUGGAUAAAGCCUAGACCAUUUCUAGGGCAGUCUUCACAGUGGCCAGUUCAGAUGCUGCAUAAGUGCCUGGAAGAUUUCACCUCUGCAAAACAGCUGCGUCAGAUCCCAGUUGCAGCCUUCUCGAUCUUUCACUGUGGCAUACAGGCUCUCUAGUUCCGACCGUCCCUCCCUUUCCUGAGUGCUCAGUUGUGUCUGACUCUUUUCGACCCACGGACUGUAGACCACCAGGCUCCUCUGUCCAUGGGACUCUCCAGGCAAGAAUACUGGAGUGGGUUGCCAUUUUCUUUAAGGGAUCUUCCCGACCCAGGGAUCCAACACAUGUCUCCCAUGUUGGCAGGAAUAUUCAACUGCUUGGGUGUGGGCCCAAAGGAGGCAGAGAAGCUGGUUCACUGACUGCUGAGGUUUUUUUAGAUAAGCUGUUCUCUAAGAGUCAGACACGACUGAGCGACUUCACUUUCACUCUUCACUUUCAUGCAUUGGAGGAGGAAAUGCCAACCCACUCCAGUGUUCUUGCCUGGAGAAUCCCAGGGACGGGGGAGCCUGGUGGGCUGCCGUCUAUGGGGUCGCACAGAGUCGGACACGACUGAAGCGACUUAGCAGCAGCAGCAGCAGCAUCUUUUAUUUAGAUGCUGAUUGUAUUAUUUAGGGGUGUCAUAUCUGUAUCCUUGAUCUCCUCAGCUAGGUUUAAAUCCACUCAGUAUAUGUGGACCAGUUUGCUAAUUCUCUUCUCCAUAGUAUCUACUCCAGUGGAGGCAGAGAGUCAAUAUUUGGUAGGUGCUUUUUGAAAAAAUGAUACAUUCUGUAAUUAAUUCUUGAAAUAAUAAAUCCUCAUUUGAAAAUUUGCUCAUCUUCUUAGAUAGCCACUGUUCCCAUGACCUAGCACUUAAUGUAGCGUUCAGAUUGCCUGGGUACAAAUUGUAGCUGUGUCUCUUACUAGGUGUGUGACCCUGGGCGAAACGCUUAAUAUUUCUGUACCUCAGUGUCCUUGUCUGUAAAACAAAGACUGUUAAAUUAUUGCAUAUUUGUUUUGAUGAAUAAAUUAGUAUGUGUAAAAUGCU
ensembl:lncRNA